rnacentral:rRNA from 1 species
AGAGUUUGAUCAUGGCUCAGAUUGAACGCUGGCGGCAGGCCUAACACAUGCAAGUCGAGCGGAAACGAGUUAUCAGAACCUUCGGGGGACGAUAACGGCGUCGAGCGGCGGACGGGUGAGUAAUGCCUAGGAAAUUGCCCUGAUGUGGGGGAUAACCAUUGGAAACGAUGGCUAAUACCGCAUGAUGCCUACGGGCCAAAGAGGGGGACCUUCGGGCCUCUCGCGUCAGGUAUUGGCCUUAGGUGCGGAUUAGCUAGCUUGCGUGAGGGUAAGGCGCACCAAGGCGACGAUCCCUAGCUGACGUCUGAGAGGGGAUGAUCAGCACACUGGAACUGAGACACGUCCAGACUGCUACGGGAGGCAGCAGUUGGGGAAUAUUGCACAUAUGGGGCGCAGCCUGAUGCAGGGGCCGAUGCCGCGUGUGUGGAAGAAGGCCUUCGUUUGUAAAGCACUUUCAGUCGUGAGGAAGUGUUGUGUGAGAGGCUGCAUUAUUUGGACGUUAGGCGAAGAAGAACACCGGCUGAACUCGGUGCCAGUUCUCUAUCUUGUCUGUAUGUUGUGUGUGUGUGCUGAGGACGUUCUUGGAGAGAGAGGGGUGGUUGAUUAAGCAGAUGUGAAGAGACUCGGCUCAACCUCGGGAAUGCAUUUGAAACUGGCAACUAUAUAGUCAUACUGUAGAGAGAGGGUGUUACAGCGCUGUAGCGUGAAAGUGCGUAGAGAUCUGAAGGUUUUUUUUUUUUUUUUUUUAAUACCGGUGUACGCAAGGAAGCCCCCUGGAAGAUACGACCACUCAGAGUGACAGAGAAAAGCGUGAGGAGCAAACAGGAUUAGAUACCUGGUAGUCCACGCCGUAAGACGGAAUGAUACGUACAUGUGUGUCGAAGAUAUGUGGCAUUGAGCCGUGGCUCUCUACGAGCUAACGAGUUAAGUAGACCGCCUGGGGAGUACGGUCGCAAGAUUAAACUCCAAAUGAAUUGACGGGGGGCCGCACAAGCGGUGGAGCAUGUGGUUUAAUUCGAUGCAACGCGAAGAACUUUACGCUACUCUUGACAUCCAGAGAACUCUUGCAGAGAUGAUUUGGUGCCGUUCGGAACUCGUUAGGACAGGUGCUGCAUGGCUGUCGUCAGCUCGUGUUGUGAAAUGUUUGGGAAGCCCGAACGAGCGCAACCCUGUACCUGACAGGCGAGUAUUCGGGAACUCAGGGAGAUGCCGGUGAUUAAACCGGAGGAAGUGGGGACGACGUCGUAAAUACAUGCCUGUUUACGAUGGUAGGUACACCUGUGCUAAAUGCGCAUACAGAGGGCGGAACUGCGGAAAGCGAAUCUAGAAAGUGUGUUGUCGGAUUGGCGUCUGACUCGACUCCAUAAGUCGGCAAUCGCUAUAACUUGAAAUGGAACAUCCCUAGGAAGUCACGGUCAAUACGUUCCGGGUCCUUACACAGCCCGUCACCCACAUGAGUGGGCCUUGCACAAGACCGUAGGUCAGCAUUUCCACCUUCUGUGGACCGUACACUUUGUCGUUCCAUGACUGGGCUAGACGUCCGUCACCAACCGUAGCCGCUAGGGGAACUCGCCCUGCCGAAUCC